ensembl:snoRNA
GGGGUGUGCUCAGAGCAGGGGGACUGAAGAAUGACUCCUCUGUUUACAACACACCUGAGACGAAUCUGGGGCCAUUGUGACGAGGGGCACAGCAGUGUGUCCUCCCUAUGAGCAAAUGCCCUACAUGU